CCUUGCAGAUCCUGCGCCCGAAGAGACGCACGCAGCUAACAUUGUCUUCUUCGCACGACUCUCCCCGCGGGUUCUCUCUGGGCACAAUGGCAACUCUUAAGGAAAAACUGAUUGCACCAGUUGCAGAAGAAGAGGCAACCGUCCCAAACAAUAAGAUCACUGUAGUGGGUGUUGGACAAGUUGGUAUGGCGUGUGCCAUCAGCAUUCUGGGAAAGUCUCUGGCUGAUGAACUUGCCCUUGUGGAUGUUUUAGAAGAUAAACUCAAAGGAGAAAUGAUGGAUCUGCAACAUGGGAGCUUAUUUCUUCAGACACCUAAAAUUGUGGCGGAUAAAGAUUACUCUGUGACUGCCAAUUCUAAGAUUGUGGUGGUGACUGCGGGAGUCCGCCAGCAGGAAGGAGAGAGCCGGCUCAAUCUGGUGCAGAGGAAUGUUAAUGUCUUCAAAUUCAUUAUUCCGCAGAUAGUCAAGUACAGUCCUGAUUGUUUCCUAAUUGUGGUUUCCAACCCAGUGGAUAUUCUCACAUAUGUUACCUGGAAACUAAGUGGACUACCCAAGCACCGUGUAAUUGGAAGUGGGU